rnacentral:rRNA from 1 species
CCUACGGGAGGCAGCAGUGAGGAAUAUUGGUCAAUGGACGAGAGUCUGAACCAGCCAAGUAGCGUGAAGGAUGACUGCCCUAUGGGUUGUAAACUUCUUUUAUAUGGGAAUAAAAUGUUCCACGUGUGGGAUUUUGUAUGUACCCUAUGAAUAAGGAUCGGCUAACUCCGUGCCAGCAGCCGCGGUAAUACGGAGGAUCCGAGCGUUAUCCGGAUUUAUUGGGUUUAAAGGGAGCGUAGAUGGAUUGUUAAGUCAGUUGUGAAAGUUUGCGGCUCAACCGUAAAAUUGCAGUUGAAACUGGCAGUCUUGAGUACAGUAGAGGUGGGCGGAAUUCGAGGUGUAGCGGUGAAAUGCUUAGAUAUCACGAAGAACUCCGAUUGCGAAGGCAGUUCACUGGACUGCAACUGACACUGAGGCUCGAAAGUGUGGGUAUCAAACAGGAUUAGAUACCCCAGUAGUC